AUGAUAUGCAAAGUAUUCACCUCCAGAGAUCAUGCUUGGUGGCUUUACUUGUAUGAGAUGGUGAAUAUCCAUGGCAAUUGUGAAGGCAAAAUCUCCAUCGAAGAAGAGUGGCAUCCACCCGAUCCAGUCUGUCUAUGCUGAUCGUCGAAUCCUUUGCUAUCUCUGAAUGGCCAAACAAUUUGACUUUUCUGUUCCUUAGUCUAAUUUUUAUGAAUAAUGGCCAAGGCCUUCGAGGGAGGAGAAACCGCAGAAGACUGCCUGCCCUGUUCGACAGGCCUAAGAGAAAUUUCAGGCUAGCGGAACUCGGAAAGACCGUGCCGUUCAUGCAGUUAGGCGAUCAUUGGAC